rnacentral:rRNA from 1 species
UACGAAGGGGGCUAGCGUUGUUCGGAUUUACUGGGCGUAAAGCGCACGUAGGCGGACUAUUAAGUCAGGGGUGAAAUCCCGGGGCUCAACCCCGGAACUGCCUUUGAUACUGGUAGUCUUGAGUUCGAGAGAGGUGAGUGGAAUCCCGAGUGUAGAGGUGAAAUUCGUAGAUAUUCGGAGGAACACCAGUGGCGAAGGCGGCUCACUGGCUCGAUACUGACGCUGAGGUGCGAAAGCGUGGGGAGCAAACAGG